UACGGAGGGUGCGAGCGUUAUCCGGAAUCACUGGGUUUAAAGGGUGCGUAGGCGGCUCGGUAAGUCAGUUGUGAAAGCCCCUUGCUUAACGAGGGAGGUGCGAUUGAUACUGUCGAGCUUGAAUCGGGAUGAGGCAGGCGGAAUGUGGCAUGUAGCGGUGAAAUGCAUAGAUAUGCCAUAGAACACCGAUUGCGAAGGAAGCCUGCUGGGCCUGUACUGAGGCUGAGGCACGAAAGCGUGGGGAGCAAACAGG
rnacentral:rRNA from 1 species